rnacentral:rRNA from 1 species
UAGGGAAUCUUCGGCAAUGGACGAAAGUCUGACCGAGCAACGCCGCGUGAGUGAAGAAGGUUUUCGGAUCGUAAAGCUCUGUUGUUAGAGAAGAACAAGGAUGAGAGUAAAAUGUUCAUCCCUUGACGGUAUCUAACCAGAAAGCCACGGCUAACUACGUGCCAGCAGCCGCGGUAAUACGUAGGUGGCAAGCGUUGUCCGGAUUUAUUGGGCGUAAAGCGAGCGCAGGCGGUUUCUUAAGUCUGAUGUGAAAGCCCCCGGCUCAACCGGGGAGGGUCAUUGGAAACUGGGAGACUUGAGUGCAGAAGAGGAGAGUGGAAUUCCAUGUGUAGCGGUGAAAUGCGUAGAUAUAUGGAGGAACACCAGUGGCGAAGGCGGCUCUCUGGUCUGUAACUGACGCUGAGGCUCGAAAGCGUGGGGAGCGAACAGG